ACAGGAUGAAAUGUUGUCCAUUGGGAUAGAAGAAGUGUUUGAUAUUUUGCCCCUGUAUGGAGUGCUGUGGCCACACAGUAGCCACCAGAUAUCUUUUACCUUCUAUGGACACCCUGACAUCGUCGCACAGGCUAAGGCUCUGUGCGAAGUGGAAGGAGGGCCCACCUAUGAGAUAAUACUAAGGGGAGAGGCCUCCCUGGUCAACUACUCCUUUGACACCAAGGAUAUUAACUAUGGAUUGCAGCUGUUUGACCACGUCACAGAGAAGGAAAUCACCCUCAAGAACACUGGGAAAGUUGGCUUUGAGUUCAAGGUUCUGACGGACCACCAGUCUUCACCAGACAACCUUCUGCCCGGAGUGCCGCUCAUCCUGCCUCUCUCAGGUUUUAUCAGUUCACAAGAAGAGCAGGUGUUGAAGGUUUCCUAUCUACCUGGAGUCCCUGAGGUCUUUCAAAGGAGUUUCCAGAUACAGAUUGCCCACCUGGACCCAGAAAAUAUCACUCUGACUGGAGAAGGAAUCUUUCCCCGAAUCUGCCUCGAUCUCCCCAGGAACCUCAAAGGAAAUGAAAAGUAUGAAAUCUUUUUAAAUCAGGCCAGAAAAAACCUAGAAAAAGAGUACAACAAAUAUGAAACAUCUGAUCACUUAGAGACACCUGAGGAAGUGUCCGAAGAUGAAUCUCUUGAGUUAAAUGCUCAGCUCCAAAUUGAAGUAGAGCGACUUAUAGUCCAAGGCUACGCCCUUGAACAUCAAAAAUCAAUUGUCCCUGGUUCCGUGGACGACUUCUCCCAUCGCCGC
rnacentral:lncRNA from 1 species